rnacentral:tRNA from 1 species
GGUAAAAUGGCUGAACCUAGGCAGUAAACUGUAAAUUUACUUAUGAAUUAUAACGAUUCUUUUACCA